GCUCCUUGUCAAUCUUGUUUGAGCUCAGAAACCCAGAAGCCCAGGCCUGGCNUAGUCCUGGGAUGGGAGACCACAAGGAAAUCCCAGGUGCAGUGGGCU
rnacentral:rRNA from 1 species